CCUACGGGAGGCAGCAGUGAGGAAUAUUGGUCAAUGGGCGCAAGCCUGACCCAGCAACGCCGCGUGAAGGAAGAAGGCUUUCGGGUUGUAAACUUCUUUUGUCAGGGACGAAGCAAGUGACGGUACCUGACGAAUAAGCCACGGCUAACUACGUGGCAGCAGACGCGGUUAUACGUAGGUGGCAAGCGUUAUCCGGAUUUAUUGGGUGUAAAGGGCGUGUAGGCGGGAAUGCAAGUCAGAUGUGAAAACUAUGGGCUCAACCCAUAGCCUGCAGUUGAAACUGUAUUUCUUGAGUGCUGGAGAGGCAAUCGGAAUGCGGGGUGUAGCGGUGAAAUGCGUAGAUAUACGGAGGAACACCAGUGGCGAAGGCGGAUUGCUGGACAGUAACUGACGCUGAGGCGCGAAAGCGUGGGGAGCAAACAGGAUUAGAUACCCUAGUAGUC
rnacentral:rRNA from 1 species